GAUGAACGCUGGCGGCGUGCCUAAUACAUGCAAGUCGAGCGAAUGGAUUUAGAGCUUGCUCUCAUGAAGUUAGCGGCGGACGGGUGAGUAACACGUGGGUAACCUGCCCAUAAGACUGGGAUAACUCCGGGAAACCGGGGCUAAUACCGGAUAACAUUUUGAACCGCAUGGUUCGAAAUUGAAAGGCGGCUUCGGCUGUAACUUAUGGAUGGACCCGCGUCGCAUUAGCUAGUUGGUGAGGUAACGGCUCACCAAGGCAACGAUGCGUAGCCGACCUGAGAGGGUGAUCGGCCACACUGGGACUGAGACACGGCCCAGACUCCUACGGGAGGCAGCAGUAGGGAAUCUUCCGCAAUGGACGAAAGUCCGACGGAGCAACGCCGCGUGAGUGAUGAAGGCUUUCGGGUCGUAAAACUCUGUUGUUAGGGAAGAACAAGUGCUAGUUGAAUAAGCUGGCACCUUGACGGUACCUAACCAGAAAGCCACGGCUAACUACGUGCCAGCAGCCGCUGUAA
rnacentral:rRNA from 1 species